rnacentral:rRNA from 1 species
GGUUAAGCGACUAAGCGUACACGGUGGAUGCCCUGGCAGUCAGAGGCGAUGAAGGACGUGCUAAUCUGCGAAAAGCGCCGGCGAGGUGAUAUGAACCUUUGACCCGGCGAUGUCCGAAUGGGGAAACCCAGUGUGUUCCGACACACUAUCGUUAACUGAAUACAUAGGUUAACGAGGCGAACCGGGGGAACUGAAACAUCUAAGUACCCCGAGGAAAAGAAAUCAACCGAGAUUCCCCCAGUAGCGGCGAGCGAACGGGGAGCAGCCCAGAGUCUGAAUCAGCUUGUGUGUUAGUGGAAGCGUCUGGAAAGUCGCACGGUACAGGGUGACAGUCCCGUACACGAAAAUGCACAGGUUGUGAACUCGAAGAGUAGGGCGGGACACGUGGUAUCCUGUCUGAAUAUGGGGGGACCAUCCUCCAAGGCUAAAUACUCCUGACUGACCGAUAGUGAACCAGUACCGUGAGGGAAAGGCGAAAAGAACCCCGGCGAGGGGAGUGAAAAAGAACCUGAAACCGUGUACGUACAAGCAGUGGGAGCACCUUCGGGUGUGACUGCGUACCUUUUGUAUAAUGGGUCAGCGACUUAUAUUCUGUAGCAAGGUUAACCGUAUAGGGGAGCCGAAGGGAAACCGAGUCUUAACUGGGCGUUAAGUUGCAGGGUAUAGACCCGAAACCCGGUGAUCUAGCCAUGGGCAGGUUGAAGGUUGGGUAACACUAACUGGAGGACCGAACCGACUAAUGUUGAAAAAUUAGCGGAUGACUUGUGGCUGGGGGUGAAAGGCCAAUCAAACCGGGAGAUAGCUGGUUCUCCCCGAAAGCUAUUUAGGUAGCGCCUCGUGAACUCAUCUUCGGGGGUAGAGCACUGUUUCGGCUAGGGGGCCAUCCCGGCUUACCAACCCGAUGCAAACUACGAAUACCGAAGAAUGUUAUCACGGGAGACACACGGCGGGUGCUAACGUCCGUCGUGAAGAGGGAAACAACCCAGACCGCCAGCUAAGGUCCCAAAGUCAUGGUUAAGUGGGAAACGAUGUGGGAAGGCACAGACAGCCAGGAUGUUGGCUUAGAAGCAGCCAUCAUUUAAAGAAAGCGUAAUAGCUCACUGGUCGAGUCGGCCUGCGCGGAAGAUGUAACGGGGCUAAACCAUGCACCGAAGCUGCGGCAGCGACACUAUGUGUUGUUGGGUAGGGGAGCGUUCUGUAAGCCGUUGAAGGUGUGCUGUGAGGCAUGCUGGAGGUAUCAGAAGUGCGAAUGCUGACAUAAGUAACGAUAAAGCGGGUGAAAAGCCCGCUCGCCGGAAGACCAAGGGUUCCUGUCCAACGUUAAUCGGGGCAGGGUGAGUCGACCCCUAAGGCGAGGCCGAAAGGCGUAGUCGAUGGGAAACAGGUUAAUAUUCCUGUACUUGGUGUUACUGCGAAGGGGGGACGGAGAAGGCUAUGUUAGCCGGGCGACGGUUGUCCCGGUUUAAGCAUGUAGGCGGAACGAUUAGGUAAAUCCGGUCGUUUUUAACGCUGAGGUGUGAUGACGAGGCACUACGGUGCUGAAGUAACAAAUGCCCUGCUUCCAGGAAAAGCCUCUAAGCAUCAGGUAACAUCAAAUCGUACCCCAAACCGACACAGGUGGUCAGGUAGAGAAUACCAAGGCGCUUGAGAGAACUCGGGUGAAGGAACUAGGCAAAAUGGUGCCGUAACUUCGGGAGAAGGCACGCUGAUAUGUAGGUGAAGCCCCUGCGGGUGGAGCUGAAAUCAGUCGAAGAUACCAGCUGGCUGCAACUGUUUAUUAAAAACACAGCACUGUGCAAACACGAAAGUGGACGUAUACGGUGUGACGCCUGCCCGGUGCCGGAAGGUUAAUUGAUGGGGUUAGCGGCAACGCGAAGCUCUUGAUCGAAGCCCCGGUAAACGGCGGCCGUAACUAUAACGGUCCUAAGGUAGCGAAAUUCCUUGUCGGGUAAGUUCCGACCUGCACGAAUGGCGUAAUGAUGGCCAGGCUGUCUCCACCCGAGACUCAGUGAAAUUGAACUCGCUGUGAAGAUGCAGUGUACCCGCGGCAAGACGGAAAGACCCCGUGAACCUUUACUAUAGCUUGACACUGAACACUGGUCCUUGAUGUGUAGGAUAGGUGGGAGGCUUUGAAGCGUGGACGCCAGUCUGCGUGGAGCCGUCCUUGAAAUACCACCCUUUAAUGGCUGGUGUUCUAACGUAGACCCGUGAUCCGGGUUGCGGACAGUGUCUGGUGGGUAGUUUGACUGGGGCGGUCUCCUCCCAAAGAGUAACGGAGGAGCACGAAGGUUAGCUAAUCCUGGUCGGACAUCAGGAGGUUAGUGCAAUGGCAUAAGCUAGCUUGACUGCGAGAGUGACGGCUCGAGCAGGUGCGAAAGCAGGUCAUAGUGAUCCGGUGGUUCUGAAUGGAAGGGCCAUCGCUCAACGGAUAAAAGGUACUCCGGGGAUAACAGGCUGAUACCGCCCAAGAGUUCAUAUCGACGGCGGUGUUUGGCACCUCGAUGUCGGCUCAUCACAUCCUGGGGCUGAAGUAGGUCCCAAGGGUAUGGCUGUUCGCCAUUUAAAGUGGUACGCGAGCUGGGUUUAGAACGUCGUGAGACAGUUCGGUCCCUAUCUGCCGUGGGCGCUGGAGAAUUGAGGGGGGCUGCUCCUAGUACGAGAGGACCGGAGUGGACGCAUCACUGGUGUUCGGGUUGUCAUGCCAAUGGCACUGCCCGGUAGCUAAAUGCGGAAAAGAUAAGUGCUGAAAGCAUCUAAGCACGAAACUUGCCCCGAGAUGAGUUCUCCCUGAGACUUUAAGUCUCCUGAAGGAACGUUGAAGACGACGACGUUGAUAGGUCGGGUGUGUAAGCGCAGCGAUGCGUUGAGCUAACCGAUACUAAUGAACCGUGAGGCUUAACCUU